rnacentral:misc_RNA from 1 species
UUGAUUGAUUCAAUAAUUGACUCAGACGCACAGAUGCAGGGUUGAGAUGGACCACCGGGGGCCCCGACGCCCAAGAGGGCCGGGUCGCCCCCGAGGCAACAGAGUCGGAAAACAUGGGGUUGGAGGUCGGGCCACGAGGACCCUCACUCAGUAAUGAUCCCUCCGCAGGUUCACCUACGGAGA